CAGCAGCCGCGGUAAUACGUAGGUGGCAAGCGUUAUCCGGAAUUAUUGGGCGUAAAGCGCGCGUAGGCGGUUUUUUAAGUCUGAUGUGAAUGCCCACGGCUCAACCGUGGAGGGUCAUUGGAAACUGGAGAACUUGAGUGCAGAAGAGGAAAGUGGAAUUCCAUGUGUAGCGGUGAAAUGCGCAGAGAUAUGGAGGAACACCAGUGGCGAAGGCGACUUUCUGGUCUGUAACUGACGCUGAUGUGCGAAAGCGUGGGGAUCAAACAGGAUUAGAUACCCCUGUAGUCCCUGUCUCUUAUAA
rnacentral:rRNA from 1 species